GACAGUGUGGCGUAGUGGUUUGAGCGUUGGACUUUGACUCCGGAGACCAGGGUUCAAAUCCCUGCUGGAUCA